GAUGAACGCUGGCGGCGUGCCUAAUACAUGCAAGUCGAGCGAACAGAUAAGGAGCUUGCUCCUUUGACGUUAGCGGCGGACGGGUGAGUAACACGUGGGUAACCUACCUAUAAGACUGGAAUAACUCCGGGAAACCGGGGCUAAUGCCGGAUAAUAUUUAGAACCGCAUGGUUCUAAAGUGAAAGAUGGUUUUACUAUCACUUAUAGAUGGACCUGCCCCGUAUUAGCUAGUUGGUGGGGUAAUGGCUUACCAAGGCAACGAUACGUAGCCGACCUGAGAGGGUGAUCGGCCACACUGGAACUGAGACACGGUCCAGACUCCUACGGGAGGCAGCAGUAGGGAAUCUUCCGCAAUGGGCGAAAGCCUGACGGAGCAACGCCGCGUGAGUGAUGAAGGUCUUCGGAUCGUAAAACUCUGUUAUUAGGGAAGAACAAAUGUGUAAGUAACUGUGCACGUCUUGACGGUACCUAAUCAGAAAGCCACGGCUAACUACGUGCCAGCCGCCGCCGUAA
rnacentral:rRNA from 1 species